ACACAUGCAAGUCGAGGGGAAACGACAUCGAAAGCUUGCUUUUGAUGGGCGUCGACCGGCGUACGGGUGAGUAACGCGUAUCCAACCUGCCCACCACUUGGGGAUAACCUUGCGAAAGUAAGACUAAUACCCAAUGACGUCUCUAGAAGACAUCUGAAAGGGAUUAAAGAUUUAUCGGUGAUGGAUGGGGAUGCGUCUGAUUAGCUUGUUGGCGGGGUAACGGCCCACCAAGGCGACGAUCAGUAGGGGUUCUGAGAGGAAGGUCCCCCACAUUGGAACUGAGACACGGUCCAAACUCCUACGGGAGGC
rnacentral:rRNA from 1 species